rnacentral:tRNA from 1 species
CAGUAGAUAGUUUAUAAAAAUAUUAAUUUUGGGGAUUAAUGAUGAGGGUUUAAAUUCCUUUCUGCUGA